rnacentral:tRNA from 1 species
UGGGCGUUGGCGUAGGCGGCGAAGCCGGUGCCCUUGACGCCGGAGUCGCUGCCGGCGGCGGUGGAGAGUUGGAUCACGACCAUGGCGCCCGCC